GGGUUAGUAAAGGUUUCGACAGGGAUCUUGAAGGUGGAGAAGCUAUCCGGAGCCGUCCGUCAAACGGCAAACCUAAAUAUAAACGCUAAUUCUAACGAAGUAGCUCUGGCUGCCUAAUCGCACCAGCGUCGCCUGACUUGCACCUGUUCUCGUCAGAUACGGCGUCAUCAUAACAGGAAACGACGCAGAGCAUGCCGCAGCUCUGUGGGUGUAUCAGCGGCUGCUGCAAAAGAAGGCGUGUUCGUUUUCCUUCUUCGUGCGGGAGAAGCCUUCGGGCGCAAGCAACGAACUAUGAUAGUAGAAGGACACGGGAUGGGUUUUUGGACAGGGGUUCGAUUCCCCUCUAAUCCAG
rfam:Firmicutes bacterium CAG:791 genomic scaffold, scf233